UGGGGAAUUUUGGACAAUGGGGGCAACCCUGAUCCAGCCAUUCCGCGUGUGGGAAGAAGGCCUUCGGGUUGUAAACCACUUUCGGACGGGAAGAAAUCGACGUGACGAAUAAUCGUGUCGGAUGACGGUACCGUAAGAAGAAGCACCGGCUAACUACGUGCCAGCAGCCGCGGUAAUACGUAGGGUGCGAGCGUUAAUCGGAAUUACUGGGCGUAAAGCGUGCGCAGGCGGUUAUGUAAGACAGAUGUGAAAUCCCCGGGCUUAACCUGGGAACUGCGUUUGUGACUGCAUAACUGGAGUACGGCAGAGGGGGGUGGAAUUCCUGGUGUAGCAGUGAAAUGCGUAGAUAUCAGGAGGAACACCGAUGGCGAAGGCAGCCCCCUGGGCCGAUACUGACGCU
rnacentral:rRNA from 1 species